AAGGGCACCACAAGAACGCGUGGAACAUGUGGCUUAAUUUGACUCAACACAGAAAAUCUUACCGGGUCAGGACAUAUCAAGGAUUGACAGAUAUAAAUUCAUUGCUUUUUUUUUUUUUUUUUUUUUAAAAAUAAAAGUGAUCAUACGUUAUAUUAUAAUGAAAGUUCUUUUAUGAUUAUGUGAUAAGUAGUGCAUGGCCGUUGUUAGUNGUGGAAUAAUUUGUCUGCUUAAUUGCGUUUUCAUACGAAUAUAAUAUCUCUACAAAGAUUAGAUGCCUAAAAACAUUGAAAUUUGAGUAUUAUAGUUUUCAAAUAUUAAAUCUAAUGCAACGAGCGAGAUUGUAGCCUUUUGUUAUAAUUUAUAUAUAUAUAAAAACAAGUACAUUAAAACUAAAGGGACCACUAUUAGAUUAAUACAUCUCAAUUUAGUGGAAGAUUACAGCAAUAACAGGUCUGUGAUGCUCUUAGAUGUUCCGGGCUGCACACGUGUUACAAUAAUAAUAAACAAAAUAAAGGCAUUUUCUUUUAAAACCCAUUAAUUCUAUAAUGGACUUUUAAUGCAAUGUCUAUAAAAUAAAUAUAUAUUUUCACAAGGGUAUAUUUAUAUUCAUAUAAUAAAUUAAAUAUUAUAUUUUAUUUUCUAAAAAUACAUACUAUUUUAUGUUCUAAUUCUAGAACAAUAAUAAUUAUUAAGGUAGGAACAGACUAUUGUUAAUUAUUAGUCUCGUUUUUAACUAGGAAUGCCUUGUAUAGUUAAUAAGAUANACUUAUGUUUAAAUAAAAAAAUUCGAAAAAUUAUCUUUUUUUUUUUUUUUUGUGGCAUAUCCUAUAUUAGAAUACUGAGUAGAAUAAGUCCCUGCCCUUUGUACACACCGCCCGUCGCUCUUACCAAUGAAUUUCAAUAUGAGUAUAAGGGAUAGUAGUUUUUUAAAUAAAAUAAAAAAAAACAAUAAUUGAUCAUUAAACUAAUACAAAUAUUGUUAUUUAAAGGAAAGAGAAGGCGUAACAAGGCAUCAGUAGGUGAACCU
rnacentral:rRNA from 1 species